CCGCUCCAUCUACAUCAUCCGCUCCAUCAUCUGGAUCUGGAAGCGCUGAUAGUCGUCGAUCCGUGCAGCCAACUCCUGAGCCUGCUGUCGAUCCUCGACAAUCUGCUGUCGAUCCUCGACAGUCUGCCUCUGCACUUCCGUCAGCCGAGCCUGACAUGCAGAAUGGAUCUCAGCCCUAGAUGAUCGUGAGGAUGAGGGAGCAGUGAUCCCAUGUCCUAGACCCCUAACAUAAUAGGAUCUCGUACUGAGCACCCGAUCACAGAUCUCAUCAUCUGUGGGUGCGGUCGAGCCCUCAGGGGUAGGUUGGGAUCUCAUGUCGGUCAUACGAUUCUGAAAAUAAAAAUUAAAGUUAUUUUAAUUUUUUAAUAAAAAUCAAAUUGUGAAUGAAAAAAUAAUUAAAAAAACUUACAAAGAAUUCCUAGCUCCCCAUCGUCCACUCCUCCGACUAUUGCUGGUGGGUCCGCUGGUAGAUAUCGAUC
rnacentral:lncRNA from 1 species